UUAAUUGAAGCCAAAGUUUGAGGCCUCCCAUUGUUAAUGGGAAAAAUGAUUUUUAAUCCAAUUAAA
rnacentral:tRNA from 2 species